rnacentral:tRNA from 1 species
UAGGGUAUGGCGAAAUGGUUAUCGUGUUUGUCUUGGGCAUAAAAGAAUGUAGGUUCAAAUCCUACUACCCUAA